ensembl:lncRNA novel transcript
GCGCAGUAUUCGUGUGGGAGUGACCCGAUUUUCCAGGUGCCCUCCGUCACCCCUUUCUUUGACUCGGAAAGGGAACUCCCUGACCCCUUGCGCUUCCCGAGUGAGGCAAUGCCUCGCCCUGCUUCGGCUCGCGCACGGUGCGCGCACCCACUGACCUGCGCCCACUGUCUGGCACUCCCUAGUGAGAUGAACCCGGUACCUCAGAUGGAAAUGCAGAAAUCACCGUCUUCUGCGUCGCUCACGCUGGGAGCUGUAGACCGGAGCUGUUCCUAUUCGGCCAUCUUGGCUCCCAGUUGUGUGGUUUUAAGGUCUGGAAAUAACUGGGAAAGAAAAGCCUUGUGGAAAGAAGACAUCUCCAGGUUUGUUUCCUUCUUGCACCCUGUAAAAGAAUGUGGAUCUUCCCUCAAAUAAGUAAAGUUCUUGAGGCUGGGAAGUCCAAGAUCAAGAUACUGGCAGUUCUAAUAUCUGGGAAAACAUGCUGCUUCUUCAAAGACUCCAAUUUCAGAUGGCAAAAUGCAUGGAAGCUGAGAUGGACCUUCUGGAGUUUUCGAUAAACCACUGUAGCUCAGUCAGAGGUCCAAUUAUGAUGAUACCCACACAGCCCGGUCCUCCCACAGCCUACAUCCAAUCCUCUGAGGAAGCUGAGUGGCACUGCCUUUAUUCACCACAGAUGCUACAGAA